rnacentral:lncRNA from 1 species
CUUUACAAAGUGUCCGAUACAUACAAAGAAGGAAAAUAAUUUCCCACCUCACUCUAUCAGCACCCCAGAAGAAAAAAAGGUUUCCCUGGACUAGAAGGGAGCAGUGACUGAGGGGAGGGGUGUCCUGAAAAAGG